UACGUAGGAUGCAAGCGUUAUCCGGAUUUAUUAGGUUUAAAGGGUGCGUAGGUGGGCGUUUAAGUCAGUGGUUAAAGCCAUUAGCUUAACUAAUGUAUGCCAUUGAUACUGGAUGUCUUGAAUGUGGUAGAGGUAGGCGGAAUGUGUUGUGUAGCGGUGAAAUGCUUAGAUAUAACACAGAACACCGAUUGCGUAGGCAGCUUACUAUUCCAUUAUUGACGCUGAUGCACGAAAGCGUGGGGAUCAAACAGGAUUAGAUA
rnacentral:rRNA from 1 species